rnacentral:lncRNA from 1 species
AAGUACCAAAAAAUAAACCUUUCUCAAAAGUCAAUAUCUCACUCUUUCUUCAUUCAUCACGCGUAGAUAACAAAAAACCCUAAAUCGCGUUUUUACUCAUAUCGCAGUUGCGGUGGCGGUGUUUCUCUUCUUCUCUUUCCGUCGUCGAUCAAGAGGGGUUUCGCUACCCUUUCUCUCUGGCUCAGUUAAGGUACUUCCUUUUCAUACCCUAAUUCCAAUUUCCGUUCGAUUUUUCCUCUCUCGAUUUCGUAGGGUUUCCUACAAGAUUUCAAUUUUCCGUCUUUCUUUCGUUUUUCACUCGUUGUUUUGUUCGAUUUGAAUGCGAAUUAGGUG